ensembl:lncRNA
GUAAUGAAAGUAUUGGGGUUUUCAAAUGGAGAAAUAUAAAAAGGUUGAGAAAGGAUUCAAAGUCGUUACAGCUUCCACUAAGUCCUGCUUCUCUGAUGGAGUUUCACGUACUCACAUUUCAGUCGAGCAGCCUGAAUGAACUAAGACAGUGGGGAAGAGAUGAACAUGGCAAUCCCAGGGGAGGAUUCCUGCACGCUUCUACUAAACACAGUCUAGGAUUACCACCCUUUCUCAGUUCUCAGAAACAGAUCCAACUGGACCAAUUCGCCUCACAUGGUCACCCCAGCCAAUCAACUCUUGCUGAGAGUCUGGAUCCCAUGGGAUAAACGUGGCUGCUUUGAGCAACUACCAAAAACGAAGGCCAGUACAAGCUGGACUACACUAAUUCCACACUUCUUUCAUAUGCUUGAGGUUCCAGCUGUCCUGGAGUUAAAGAUUCAGCUGAAAUCUGUGACCAAGUAGAAAUCUUAAUUCAAUGUGGAAAAUAUGGCUGCCAGACUUAGCAAAUAAAAGUACAAGAUGCCCAAUCAAAUUUGAAUACUUAACAAAAAAAAUUCGUCGCAUGUGAUAUUUGGGACCUACUUAUACUAAAAAAAAAAAAAAGCUUCAUUGUUUGAAGUUCAGGUGUAACUGAGCAUCCUAUA